AACGAACGCUGGCGGCAGGCUUAACACAUGCAAGUCGAACGCCCGUAGCAAUACGGGAGUGGCGGACGGGUGAGUAACGCGUGGGAACGUGCCCUGAGGUACGGAAUAACUGCGGGAAACUGCAGCUAAUACCGUAUGAGCCCCGCAAGGGGGAAAGAUUUAUCGCCUUAGGAGCGGCCCGCUUCGGAUUAGCUAGUUGGUGGGGUAACGGCUUACCAAGGCUUCGAUCCGUAGCUGGUCUGAGAGGACGACCAGCCACUCUGGGACUGAGACACGGCCCAGACUCCUACGGGAGUCAGCAGUGGGGAAUCUUGCGCAAUGGGGGCAACCCUGACGCAGCCAUGCCGCGUGAAUGAUGAAGGCCUUAGGGUUGUAAAGUUCUUAUGCCCGUGACGAUGAUGACGGUAACGGGAGAAUAAGCUCCGGCUAACUUCGUGCCAGCCGCCGCAGUAACAC
rnacentral:rRNA from 1 species